GAUGAACGCUGGCGGCGUGCCUAAUACAUGCAAGUCGAGCGAACGGACGAGAAGCUUGCUUUUCUGAUGUUAGCGGCGGACGGGUGAGUAACACGUGGAUCACCUACCUAUAAGACUGGGAUAACUUCGGGAAACCGGAGCUAAUACCGGAUAAUAUUUUGAACCGCAUGGUUCAAAAGUGAAAGACGGUCUUGCUGUCACUUAUAGAUGGAUCUGCGCUGCAUUAGCUAGUUGGUAAGGUAACGGCUUACCAAGGCAACGAUGCAUAGCCGACCUGAGAGGGUGAUCGGCCACACUGGAACUGAGACACGGUCCAGACUCCUACGGGAGGCAGCAGUAGGGAAUCUUCCGCAAUGGGCGAAAGCCUGACGGAGCAACGCCGCGUGAGUGAUGAAGGUCUUCGGAUCGUAAAACUCUGUUAUUAGGGAAGAACAUAUGUGUAAGUAACUGUGCACAUCUUGACGGUACCUAAUCAGAAAGCCACGGCUAACUACGUG
rnacentral:rRNA from 1 species